GUGCUUGCUUUGACAGCACAUUCACUAUAAUUGGAACAAUACAGAGAUCAGCAUGACCCCUAUGCAAGAACAACAUGCAAAUUCGUGAAUCAUUUUUUUUUUUU
ensembl:snRNA U6 U6 spliceosomal RNA